GUGGGGAAUAUUGGACAAUGGGCGAAAGCCUGAUCCAGCCAUGCCGCGUGAGUGAUGAAGGCCUUAGGGUUGUAAAGCUCUUUCAGUAGGGAAGAUAAUGACGGUACCUACAGAAGAAGCCCCGGCUAACUUCGUGCCAGCAGCCGCGGUAAUACGAAGGGGGCUAGCGUUGUUCGGAUUUACUGGGCGUAAAGUGCACGUAGGCGGAUUGGUCAGUUAGAGGUGAAAUCCUGGAGCUCAACUCCAGAACUGCCUUUAAUACUGCCAGUCUAGAGUCCAGAAGAGGUGAGUGGAACUCCUAGUGUAGAGGUGGAAUUCGUAGAUAUUAGGAAGAACACCAGUGGCGAAGGCGGCUCACUGGUCUGGUACUGACGCUGAGGUGCGAAAGCGUGGGGAGCAAACAGGAUUAGAAACCCGUGUAGUCC
rnacentral:rRNA from 1 species